UGGGGAAUAUUGGACAAUGGGCGAAAGCCUGAUCCAGCCAUGCCGCGUGUGUGAAGAAGGUCUUCGGAUUGUAAAGCACUUUAAGUUGGGAGGAAGGGCAGUAAGCGAAUACCUUGCUGUUUUGACGUUACCGACAGAAUAAGCACCGGCUAACUCUGUGCCAGCAGCCGCGGUAAUACAGAGGGUGCAAGCGUUAAUCGGAAUUACUGGGCGUAAAGCGCGCGUAGGUGGUUCGUUAAGUUGAAUGUGAAAGCCCCGGGCUCAACCUGGGAACUGCAUCCAAAACUGGCGAGCUAGAGUAGGGCAGAGGGUGGUGGAAUUUCCUGUGUAGCGGUGAAAUGCGUAGAUAUAGGAAGGAACACCAGUGGCGAAGGCGACCACCAGGGCUCAUACUGACACUGAGGUGCGAAAGCGUGGGGAGCAAACAGG
rnacentral:rRNA from 1 species